rnacentral:tRNA from 1 species
GUAAUAUUAGUAUAAUUAAUUAUUUUUGAUUUUCUAUCAAAAGAUUUUGUAUUAUU